UACGAGAGGCCCAAACGUUAUUCGGAUUUACUGGGCUUAAAGAGUUUGUAGGCGGUUCGGUAAGUGAGAUGUGAAAGCCCUCGGCUCAACCGAGGAAUUGCGUUUCAAACUGCCGGGCUCGAGGGAGAUAGAGGUGAGCGGAACUGAUGGUGGAGCGGUGAAGUGCGUUGAUAUCAUCAGGAACACCAGAGGCGAAGGCGGCUCACUGGGUCUCUUCUGACGCUGAGAAACGAAAGCUAGGGGAGCAAACGGG
rnacentral:rRNA from 1 species